CAGAAAUCUUACGCUGAUGCACGUCGAACUGAGUUAUGUUUUGAAAUAGGAGACAAGGUCUUCCUAAAGGUAUCUCCUACCAAGGGGAUAACUAGGUUGGUGUCAAGGGAAAACUUAGGCCCCGAUUCGUAGGACCUUAUGAGAUUUUGGAGAGAAUAGGCCCAGUAGCCUAUAGGUUGGCGUUACCGCCAAGCUUUGGAAACGUUCACAAUGUUUUCCACGUAUCACAACUCAGAAAAUACGUUUUCGAUCCAAAGCACAUAAUCCACCAAGAAGAGAUCAUCAUUUGCCCAGACUUGAGCUAUGAAGAGAGACCAGAGGUCAUUCUAGAUCGAAAAGUACAACAACUCAGGAAUAAGGCAAUCACAUCAGUGAAAGUCUUAUGGAGACACCACGGACAAGAGGAAGCCACGUGGGAGCUUGAAGACAAAAUGAAGGAGAAAUACCCCGAACUGUUUUAGAAGAAAUAUGCAAAUUUCGGGACGAAAUUUUUGUUAAGAGGGGUAGUAUGUAGUGACCCGCUCUUUUAUAUAUUUUAAAUCCAGUAAUGAGUGUUUAUUUUUGUUCAUCAGUGAAUGAAAACGGUUUUUAUCCUAAUAUGAAUUCAGCUUAUGAUCCUGAAUUUAUAUUGUUAAAGCAGUUAAUGAUAUUAUUUCAGAGUUAUAACUGACUUAGCAAAGUCACGUUAUUUAUUUAAGCGAGAUGAAAUUUGAUUUUAUUUUUACUCAGAUCGUGAAUUAUUUCCGACUCAGGAAGUUAAUUAAAUCUGCGGAUUUAAUUUAGAUAUCAGAACAACGAACGAAUUAAAUCUACGGAUUUAAUUUAGAUUCAUUUUAUAAUUUAUCGGUUUUAGUGAGAAAUCACAUGUCGAAAUACGAGAUUUAUUUAAAUAAACAGUAUCAAGCAUAUACGAGCACACGAUCCAUCUUACAGUUACAGAAUCACCGAGACAGAGAAAAUACAUCAAUAAUUCUCCUCUACAUUUUUUUUCCUUUCUUUUUCUUCUCUUUUUCUUUCCAUUAAUUUUGUUCCCCACUCCAUCAACUCCACUACCCUAUGCUCCCCACCAUCUCCACUACCUUUGCUCCCCAUCAACUCCAACACUUCACCCAUUCCUUCCAUUUCGCACCAGCAAUCACAAAGAGAAGGAAGACUUGGCUUAACUACUUUGCCAAGAUUUCAAGCUGCUCCAGUCCAGUAGUACCCCAACACUCGAAGCUAGAGUUUAUUGGGUGAAAAACCGUGCAUGAGGUCGAGCGCAAGAAUAAGAGCUCGUCAAGGAGUCACUAAUCUGUAGCAAAGCUUUGCUAUCAGGUGGGCAUUACUUUCAUAUAUAUCAAAUGAGUUUAAAUGUUACGUUCAAGCAAGUUAUUUCAUGACUAAAUUAAUUGAAGUUAUUUCAAAUAUUGUCUUGCCAUAAAAUGUUUAAAUUUCAGUAUGAUAUCUAUCUGAUGUGACUUUAAUCAUGUAAUCGAAUUCGGGUCUUGAGCAGUUGAUAGCUAUCCUGCCAGGGCUAGUGUACACCAGUGACCGUGAGUCAUCUAGCGGGUUGGCCGGUCAAGUGUCCGUGAGAGGUGGCCACCUCUCCGGCACACAGUUCCAGAUAUGAUAGAUUACAAGAGAACUUAGUCUGCAGACGAACUUUAAGAAUCACAAAUGAAUUUAGUAAGCUUGGGCCUUUUUAGAGAAAAACUCCCUUGCUGUACUGUUUAUGAUGGCAUGACAAUUUACAACUUUACGAAGCAUGUUAUAUUUCAUAGUAGGCAUAUGUGCCCACUGAGUACUUUUGUACUCAGCCCUGCAUAUAUUUCUAAAUGUGCAGGUUGAGCAGCUGCCGAUGGUGAUGAAGUGACGAGCGGGACUCUUUUGUCUUAUUAUGUAUUAAUGAACUCUAGGGUUACAUGUCUUCAUACAUGUAAUCAGAACCUUAUUCCGCUGCGUACUCAGAAGUUGUAUACUAUUUUGGAUAAGUCGGAGUUAUCCGAACUUAUUAGUUAUUUGAAUCUAUACGACUAAAACUUCGUUAUAUUAUAAAUAUUCCUUUUGUUAAA